GGGCUUCCCUGUUUGCAUUGCUGCUGGAGAAGCUCAACAAACUGAAGAUCCAAUGGAAGAAGAUAUGGAAGCACGUGUGGCUGAGAAUAACAUUGUGACCCUAAAACCAGAACGCCGAUAUCGAAUCAAGGCAGGGAUGGAGGACUCUUGAUAUUAUGUGCACUUGAAGCUAGUAUCUGUGUUAAUUGUUGAAUCAAGGCAGGGAUCGAGGACACUUGAUCUUAUGUUUACUUGAAGCUAGUUUUGUGUUAAUUGUUGAAUCAAGGCAGGGAUCGAGGACACUUGAUCUUAUGUUUACUUGAAGCUAGUUU
rnacentral:misc_RNA from 1 species